AUCGAACCUUUUCGCCCUUCAACAGUCCUUCGAUUUCUUUCGGUGGGUUUAGACCUAAACGUUGAGCACGCUCCCAACGUGCAAGCCGAGACAUCCCAAGGCACGGUCCAUAUGCCAUGUUCAUGUCAAAUUGCCUCAACACAUCCUCAUGUUUGUCAUAAUCAUCUAUUAAACACAAAAAACCAAGAAAACACAAUAAGUUACAGCUUAUAAAUACACAGAAUAUACAUAUACAUACACAGGUAACACAGUUUCAAUUAACCAAUGCCGAUAUUUUACAAUGAAUUUUACCACACUGAAGAAUAGACCCAGAUACAAUUUUCCAAUUUGAGUACAAUAAAAGAAGAAUAAGUAAUUAAGACAGCAAAGACUUAUCUUUCUUGUCAUGCGAUGAAGAAAUUUUCCAGUAUUUUUAUUCUUUAAAGAAAAACAGACAGUAAAGGGAGAACAAAAUCCCAGAGGCGUCAACUAUCGAACAAACACUAGCAAACUACAAGUAAAAAAAGAAAAAGAACAAAAAAGGAGAGGAUACAAGAAACAGAAACCUUUGAGAUCAGGAGAGUCAUGGGAAACCAAGGCUGUUGGUUGGGUAAUAUCAGAGCCAAGAGUGGCCGCGUGAAUAAGGGAAGAUUUUUUGGUAGAUGUGGGUUUUCUGAUACCACUCUUGUUCUUCUUUUGCCUGUAGAAACC
rnacentral:lncRNA from 1 species